CCUACGGGAGGCAGCAGUGAGGAAUAUUGCUCAAUGGACGAGAGUCUGAACCAGCCAAGCAGCGUGAAGGAUGACUGCCCUAUGGGUUGUAAACUUCUUUUCUAUGGGACUAAAAUGUUCCACGUGUGGGAUUUUGUAUGUACCAUAUGCAUCAGGAUAGGCUCACUCCGUGCCAGGCGCCGCGGUAAUACGGAGGUUCCGAGCGUUAUCCGGAUUUUGUGGGUUUAAAGGGAGCGUAGGUGGAUUGUUAAGUCAGUUGUGAAAGUGUGCGGCUCAACCGUAAAAUUGCAGUGGAAACUGGCAGUCUUGAGUACAGUAGAGGUGGGCGGAAGUCGUGGUGUAGCGGUGAAAUGCGUAGAUAUUACGAAGAACUCCGAUUGCGAAGGCAGUUCACUGGACUGCAACUGACACUGAGGCUCGAAAGUGUGGGUAUCAAACAGGAUUAGAUACCCGGGUAGUC
rnacentral:rRNA from 1 species